rnacentral:rRNA from 1 species
CGAGUGGCGGACGGGUGAGGAAUACAUCGGAAUCUACUCUGUCGUGGGGGAUAACGUAGGGAAACUUACGCUAAUACCGCAUACGACCUACGGGUGAAAGCAGGGGACCUUCGGGCCUUGCGCGAUUGAAUGAGCCGAUGUCGGAUUAGCUAGUUGGCGGGGUAAAGGCCCACCAAGGCGACGAUCCGUAGCUGGUCUGAGAGGAUGAUCAGCCACACUGGAACUGAGACACGGUCCAGACUCCUACGGGAGGCAGCAGUC